CACGUAGGGCGCAAGCGUUGUCCGGAAUUAUUGGGCGUAAAGCGCUCGUAGGCGGUCUGUUGCGUCAGCUGUGAAAUCUCGGGGCUUAACCCCGAGCCUGCAGUGGAUACGGGCAGACUAGAGGUAGGUAGGGGAGAAUGGAAUUCCUGGUGUAGCGGUGAAAUGCGCAGAUAUCGGGAGGAACACCGGUGGCGAAGGCGGUUCUCUGGGCCUGACCUGACGCUGAGACGCGAAAGCGUGGGGAGCAAACAGG
rnacentral:rRNA from 1 species